ACAAUGAACUUGAGUUGGGUCUCAGGUUCUCUAAUAUUCUCACUCAGCUCCGCAAUCUUUCUAGUUUUCAUUUCAUUCAGAUCUGCAAGAGCCUUCGUCCUUGAAGUCUGAUUUGAAGCCCAGCGCUCAUAAUAAUGAGUGUAUCUCUCAAGAGAGUUCUUAGCCAUUUCUCUUCUUCUCUCAGCCUCAUCAUACACUCCUUGCUUCUUUGCUGAUUCAUAACUAUUGCAAGCAUAAAAACCGCCAGUUCUCUCUCCAUGUUGAGACCAGUCACCAAGACACAACCAGCAGAAGUCGAAUUUGCAAGGAGGAGUGCAAGUCAUGUGCAUGCAGCCUUGGUUCUUCUCUAUUGGCCGCUUGCAUUUAGGGCAAGGUUUCGAAUUAGCCAAUAUCCAGUUCAUGUUUUCAGACUCAGCACUGUUCUUCAAAACCCACUUCUCUACUGUACUGCAGUCCACAGGUCGGUGCGCUUCCUCAACACAAUUCCAACAGAAGGAGAAAGAGCAGCCGCAACAAACAUCAUAGUUACUGUUUCCAAUCAUAAACUCCACUGCAAAUUCACAGCCAGGCGAAGGGCACCACUUUGUCUUUCUGCUAUCUUCAACAUAAGACCUUAACAUAAACCGAGCGUAUUUCUCUUUAUCUUCAUCUUUAGCUAACUUAUUAAUCAAAUCUUGAGUUACCACAACAGAACAAGACGGCUCAGGACAUCUCAAGUUCAAACAACCAGGUCCACCAUUUAUUGCUGCACCUAUGUAACCUUGCCAGCACGUGAAACAGUAAUGAUGACCACAUUCAGCAUCACAGACUUUACUCGAUGGUAAUUCCUCAAAGCAUAUUCCACAUUUCAUUUUUCGUGCUCUGCGAACUUCAACUGGAGUCUCCAGUAAUCCAACAGAUUUACGAACYGCASUCCWCAKKUGCRRWSCRCUUCMUCAACACAAUUCCAACAGAAGGAGAAAGAGCAGCCGCAACAAACAUCAUAGUUACUGUUUCCAAUCAUAAACUCCACUGCAAAUUCACAGCCAGGCGAAGGGCACCACUUUGUCUUUCUGCUAUCUUCAACAUAAGACCUUAACAUAAACCGAGCGUAUUUCUCUUUAUCUUCAUCUUUAGCUAACUUAUUAAUCAAAUCUUGAGUUACCACAACAGAACAAGACGGCUCAGGACAUCUCAAGUUCAAACAACCAGGUCCACCAUUUAUUGCUGCACCUAUGUAACCUUGCCAGCACGUGAAACAGUAAUGAUGACCACAUUCAGCAUCACAGACUUUACUCGAUGGUAAUUCCUCAAAGCAUAUUCCACAUUUCAUUUUUCGUGCUCUGCAAACUUCAACUGGAGUCUCCAGUAAUCCAACAGAUUUACGAACCGACUCCUCAUUUGCAAACCACUCAUCAUUCACUUCACUCGCAUCCCAUUUGAAGUGGCGUAAAAGGAUCAAUGCGUGUUCUUUAGAAAUGGAAAGUAUGUUUGAAACUUCAGCUGUUGCUUCCUCUUGCCGCUGGCUUAUAUCCUCCUCUUUCAGAACUGUAAAUCUCUCAUUGCGCCGCCGGAUCAAAUCGACCGAAUCAUCCUCCUCCUUGUUCCCAAAAUCGUAAUCAGGGUCGCUCUCGUCGCUGUCCCCGCCGUCUUCGCUGUAGUAAUAAUCCUCGUCGUAAAUAAGCUCUGAAUCGCUCGCGUCGAGCAUGUCCUCGUCGGAAUCCAUCUCGAUCAAUCAAUCCACCAGAUCGAUCGGCUCCGAUCCUUAUCGAAGAAGAAGAAGAAGAUGAAGAAGUAGAAUAWGACUGGUUGAAGUGUCACUUUGUUUUGGAAUAUCAUUUUGGACAAGACCACGACAUUGUCAGGUGGGGAGUUUGGCUGGGGCGGCACAUCUGUUAAACGAUAACACAGGUGUCCUAAGGUGAGCUCAAAGAGAACAGAAAUCUCUUGUAGAACACAAGGGUAAAAGCUCACUUGAUUGGGAUUUUCAGUAUGAAUACCAAGUGUGAAAGCAUGGCCUAGCGAUCCUUUACAAUUGUGUGAAUUUCACGGUAGAGGUGUCAGAAAAGUUACCACAGGGAUAACUGGCUUGUGGCAGCCAAGCGUUCAUAGCGACGUUGCUUUUUGAUUCUUCGAUGUCGGCUCUUCCUAUCCCUGCCUCGCAUCUGGGGCAAACGGUAAGAUUGUUCACCUACCAACAGGGAACGUGAGCUGGGAUUAGACCGUCGCGAGACAGGUUAGUUUUAUCCUACUGAUAGUAUUGGGUCGGGACAGUAAUUCAACUCAGUACGAGAGGAACCGUUGAUUCGCAUGACUGGUAAAUUCGGUUGCCUGGGAAGGCAUUGCUGAGAAGCUGUCAUGCGUGGGAUGACGGCUGAACGCCUCUAAGCCGGAAGCCUGGCUGGAACGACCUUGAGUCCGCUUUCCAUUGUUUUUGAAUCAGAGUGGCGGACGACCUAGGGAGCUUGUAGACGACUUGUUUCGAAC
rnacentral:rRNA from 1 species